GAUGAAGAACGCAGCGAAAUGCGAUAAGUAGUGUGAAUUGCAGAAUUCUGGAAUCAUCGAAUCUUUGAACGCACAUUGCGCCUUCUGGUAUUCCGGAAGGCAUGCCUGUUCGAGAGUCAUUAACAACCGUUUCGAUCCCUUUCUUUCAGAAAUUACAAAGAGGAAAAGGGUUUGGUUAUGGUGGAGGAGGGAAAGGGAGCGUUUAGCCUGUAAAAAAAGAGGCUGUGUUCCGCCUCCCCCCCAAAAUUGUACAGGCGGUCGUGUGCGCCCACGCAUCGAGGUGUUGUAAAAGCUGCCACGGCACUUUUCACCUGUGCAGUGCGAGAUUGGCCAGCCGGUUUAAAAACCCCUCCAAACAAUCAAAGGUUGACCUCGGAUCAGGUAGGGAUACCCGCUGAACUUAAGCAUAUCAAUAAGCGGAGGA
rnacentral:misc_RNA from 1 species